GGGCAAAAUAACCAGCUAGCAUCAUAAUGACAGGAUCAAAUUCACACAUAACAAUAUUAACCUUAAAUGCUCCAUAGGUUUUUCUUUAUCCUUCUGAAGUUUCUCAUUGCCUACCUCUUAUAGAAAGUAGAAACAGGAAGCAGAAAUAAACCCUACAGUAACGAGUAAGUUCUUGCUCUGUUAGUUCAUGCCAAGGCUGGUUGCUGUUGUUGUUGUUG
rnacentral:lncRNA from 1 species